ACCUGCGGAAGGAUCAUUACCGAGUGCGGGUCCUUUGGGCCCAACCUCCCAUCCGUGUCUAUUGUACCCUGUUGCUUCGGCGGGCCCGCCGCUUGUCGGCCGCCGGGGGGGCGCCUCUGCCCCCCGGGCCCGUGCCCGCCGGAGACCCCAACACGAACACUGUCUGAAAGCCUGCAGUCUGAGUUGAUUGAAUGCAAUCAGUUAAAACUUUCAACAAUGGAUCUCUUGGUUCCGGCAUCGAUGAAGAACGCAGCGAAAUGCGAUAACUAAUGUGAAUUGCAGAAUUCAGUGAAUCAUCGAGUCUUUGAACGCACAUUGCGCCCCCUGGUAUUCCGGGGGGCAUGCCUGUCCGAGCGUCAUUGCUGCCCUCAAGCCCGGCUUGUGUGUUGGGUCGCCGUCCCCCUCUCCGGGGGGACGGGCCCGAAAGGCAGCGGCGGCACCGCGUCCGAUCCUCGAGCGUAUGGGGCUUUGUCACAUGCUCUGUAGGAUUGGCCGGCGCCUGCCGACGUUUUCCAACCAUUCUUUCCAGGUUGACCUCGGAUCAGGUAGGGAUACCCGCUGAACUUAAGCAUAUCAAA
rnacentral:rRNA from 1 species